rnacentral:rRNA from 1 species
AGCGAACGCUGGCGGCAGGCCUAACACAUGCAAGUCGAACGAACCUUUCGGGGUUAGUGGCGGACGGGUGAGUAACACGUGGGAACGUGCCUUUAGGUUCGGAAUAACUCGGGGAAACUUGUGCUAAUACCGAAUGUGCCCUUCGGGGGAAAGAUUUAUCGCCUUUAGAGCGGCCCGCGUCUGAUUAGCUAGUUGGUUGAGGUAAUGGCUCACCAAGGCGACGAUCAGUAGCUGGUCUGAGAGGAUGAUCAGCCACAUUGGGACUGAGACACGGCCCAAACUCCUACGGGAGGCAGCAGUGGGGAAUCUUGCGCAAUGGGCGAAAGCCUGACGCAGCCAUGCCGCGUGAAUGAUGAAGGUCUUAGGAUUGUAAAAUUCUUUCACCGGGGACGAUAAUGACGGUACCCGGAGAAGAAGCCCCGGCUAACUUCGU